rnacentral:rRNA from 1 species
AUUGAACGCUGGCGGCAAGCCUAACACAUGCAAGUCGAACGAGUGGCGGACGGGUGAGUAAUGUCUGGGAAUCUGCCUGAUGGAGGGGGAUAACUACUGGAAACGGUAGCUAAUACCGCAUACCAUCGGAUGUGCCCAUAGGGGAUUAGCUAGUAGGUGGGGUAAAGGCUCACCUAGGCGACGAUCCCUAGCUGGUCUGAGAGGAUGACCAGCCACACUGGAACUGAGACACGGUCCAGACUCCUACGGGAGGCAGCAGUGGGGAAUAUUGCACAAUGGGCGCAAGCCUGAUGCAGCCAUGCCGCGUGUAUGAAGAAGGCCUUCGGGUUGUAAAGUACUUUCAGCGAGGAGGCGUUACCCGCAGAAGAAGCACCGGCUAACUCCGUGCCAGCAGCCGCGGUAAUUC